UACGUAGGGUGCGAGCGUUGUCCGGAAUUAUUGGGCGUAAAGAGCUCGUAGGCGGUGUGUCACGUCGGCCGUGAAAACCUGCAGCUUAACUGUGGGCGUGCGGUCGAUACGGGCAUCACUGGAGUUCGGCAGGGGAGACUGGAAUUCCUGGUGUAGCGGUGAAAUGCGCAGAUAUCAGGAGGAACACCGGUGGCGAAGGCGGGUCUCUGGGCAGAUACUGACGCUGAGGAGCGAAAGCGUGGGGAGCAAACAGG
rnacentral:rRNA from 1 species